rnacentral:misc_RNA from 1 species
GAUGAAGAACGUAGCGAAAUGCGAUACGUAAUGUGAAUUGCAAAUUCAGUGAAUCACCGAGUCUUUGAACGCACAUUGCGCCCCCUGGUAUUCCGGGGGGCAUGCCUGUCCGAGCGUCAUUACUGCCCUCAAGCCCGGCUUGUGUGUUGGGCCCCGUCCUCCGAUCCCGGGGGACGGGCCCGAAAGGCAGCGGCGGCACCGCGUCCGGUCCUCGAGCGUAUGGGGCUUUGUCACCCGCUCUGUAGGCCCGGCCGGCGCUUGCCGAUCAACCCCAAUUUUUUAUAGGUUGACCUCGGAUCAGGUAGGGAUACCCGCUGAACUUAAGCAUAUCAAUAAGCGGAGGA